CCCUUGGUGGUGUAGUUGGUUAUCGCGUCAGACUGUAAUUGUACUGCCGGGUAGGGCCAACAACCCUCAUCCGGUCCGGAUUAUUUCCAUCUGAAUGUCACCGGUUCGAUUCCGGUCCGAGGGA